AACAGAGAGAAGCAAUAACCGCGAGGUGGAGCAAAACUUCAAAAAUGGUCUCAGUUCGGACUGUAGGCUGCAACUCGCCUACACGAAGUUGGAAUUGCUAGUAAUCGCGGAUCAGCAUGCCGCGGUGAAUACGUUCCCGGGCCUUGUACACACCGCCCGUCACACCAUGGAGCCGGUAAUACCCGAAGUCAGUAGUCCAACCUCGUGAGGACGCUGCCGAAGGUAGGAUUGGCGACUGGGGUGAAGUCGUAACAAGGUAAC
rnacentral:rRNA from 1 species